GCAAUCAUGGCCGAGCGGUCUAAGGCGCCACGUUAAGGAGUACCCUUAAUACAAUCUCAGAUUCCGUGGUCCGAAAGGGCGUGAGUUCGAAUCUCACCGAUAUCA
rnacentral:tRNA from 1 species